UUGCUUUGACAGCACAUAUACUAAAAUAAGAAUAAUACAGAGAAGAUUUGCAUGGUCCCUGCACAAGGACAGCAUGCAAAUCUGUGAAGCAUUUCAUAUUUUA